rnacentral:lncRNA from 1 species
UUCUGCGCUGUUUGUUUUCCCAGUGCUAAAGAUGAACCCAGGGCCUUGCGCAUAUCAGGCAACUGCUCUACCACUGAGCUGUGCUCUACUCCAAGUCCUGUUUUUCAAAAAUUAUUUACAGGUGGGAAUUUAUAGUUCAGUGAAUGAGCAAGUAAUCUUUUGGGGAAGUUAUUUCUAUGCUGUUUGUGGGCUAGAAAGACUGCAAAGAGGAAAGGGAAGGGGUCGAAUCGCCCAGCAAGGAGUUGGCUACAGCACAAAUGCUUCCUGUCACUCUGUCCCCAGUGGAGGUUUAAAGAGCCUGAAAAACGACAGCAUCAUGGACUUCAGACUGGAAGUCAACAUUACCCAACAGACUUGGGCUGCAGAGGUCAGUAUCUUCCUUGUGGAAAAAGUGCCUGGCUCCAACUCACUCAAAGGCAUCAUCCCUGGAAAGGCCAGAGAUGUGAAAUGUCUCUCCUCAGUGGAUCCCAGGUGCUCCUCCUAAACUCAUCGACCUCUCCCCUGAAACACACAGACCCCUCCUCCCUGGCCUCUCACAAAGCAUCUUCCCCUCCCCUCAGAGAGUAGCCCCUCCUCGCACUCUCGGUCCCCUCAAACUAUCUACACCACCCAGUCAAGAAGAGCUAUUGCAAAGCAUGGUGGCAUAUACCCGUAAUCCCUGAUACUUGGAAGGCUGAGGCAGGAGGGUUACAAGGUGGAAGCCAGAUGGGAAACUUAGUAACUUAGCAAGACUCUGCCUCAAAAUAAAAACAAAAAACAAAAAAUAAAGCGUGGAAGGUAACUUUUUUUAACCUUCUCAAUUUUCAUCAUCAAAUAUCAUAAAGAAAAAGGAGGAAGAGAACUUCCAAUACCUUGUACUCAUAAAACACAAAUUUAGAUAAUAGAAAGACUUCUUAUUCUGUAAUAUGCAGCCUCCAAGAACCAAGUGUUUGCAAAGAGCCAAUGUUCUACUAAGGGCUCCACUCAUGGGUGCCCGUGUAGACCUGAACACCAGCCAAGGCCACACGAUGGAACUCAAGGACACGGUCACUUACUUCAGGAUGCCGAUGCCGCAAGUGGCAGAGAAUCAGUGCAUGUGACACAAGAGAACAAAAAACUACCUAGUCCAAGGUGACUGAUCCAGUGACAUUAACAUUCUGAAAGUCAGCACUGCAAGAAAAAGCCAUUUUUGGCUUUAAACUCAACUGGACUUGAACCACCCCAGGGAAGCUGGCUUUAUCCCCAGUGAGGGGCCCCUUCUCUCCAAGGGAGCGGGACCACAUCACCUUCUGCAUUUCAUACGGCGUGGAAUCUCCACCACGUAGGCCUCCUUAGCAUGCAGUUCCCGAAAGCAGUGAAACGAAGAGAACCCUUCCCCAAAG